UACGGGGGGGGCAAGCGUUGUUCGGAAUUACUGGGCGUAAAGGGCUCGUAGGCGGCCAACUAAGUCAGACGUGAAAUCCCCAGGCUCAACCUGGGAACUGCGUCUGAUACUGGUUGGCUUGAAUCCGGGAGAGGGAUGCGGAAUUCCUGGUGUAGCGGUGAAAUGCGCAGAUAUCAGGAGGAACACCAAUAGCGAAGGCAGCUCGCUGGGACGUGACUGACACUAAGGCGCGAAAGCGUGGGGAGCGAACAGG
rnacentral:rRNA from 1 species